rnacentral:rRNA from 1 species
UAGGGAAUAUUGCGCAAUGGAGGAAACUCUGACGCAGCGACGCCGCGUGAGUGAUGAAGGCCUUAGGGUCGUAAAGCUCUGUCGUGGGGGAAGAUGAUGACGGUACCCCACAAGAAAGGACCGGCUAACUUCGUGCCAGCAGCCGCGGUAAUACGAGGGGUCCUAGCGUUGUUCGGAAUCAUUGGGCGUAAAGCGGGUGUAGGCGGCCAUUCAAGUCAGAUGUGAAAUCCCUGGGCUUAACCUAGGAAGUGCAUUUGAUACUGUUUGGCUUGAGUACGGGAGAGGGUAGUGGAAUUUCCUGGUGUAGUGGUGAAAUACGUAGAUAUCAGGAGGAACACCGGUGGCGAAGGCGGCUACCUGGCCCAGUACUGACGCUCAGACCCGAAAGCGUGGGGAUCAAACAGGAUUAGAUACCCUGGUAGUCCACGCCGUAAACAAUGGAUACUUGGUGUUGGAGGUAUUGACCCCUUCAGUGCCGAAGNUAACGCGUUAAGUAUCCCGCCUGGGGAGUACGGUCG